rnacentral:rRNA from 1 species
GACGAACGCUGGCGGCGUGCUUAACACAUGCAAGUCGAGCGGAAAGGCCCUUCGGGGUACUCGAGCGGCGAACGGGUGAGUAACACGUGAGUAACCUGCCCCAGACUUUGGGAUAACCCUCGGAAACGGGGGCUAAUACCGGAUACGACACAGCUUCGCAUGGGGUCUGUGUGGAAAGUUUUUCGGUUUGGGAUGGGCUCGCGGCCUAUCAGCUUGUUGGUGGGGUGAUGGCCUACCAAGGCGACGACGGGUAGCCGGCCUGAGAAGGCGACCGGCCACACAGGGACUGAGACACGGCCCAGACUCCUACGGGAGGCAGCAGUGGGGAAUAUUGCACAAUGGGCGGAAGCCUGAUGCAGCGACGCCGCGUGAGGGAUGACGGCCUUCGGGUUGUAAACCUCUUUCAGCAGGGACGAAGCGUAAGUGACGGUACCUGCAGAAGAAGCGCCGGCCAACUACGUG